UACGGGGGGAGCAAGCGUUGUUCGGAUUUACUGGGCGUAAAGGGCGCGUAGGCGGCGCGGUAAGUCACUUGUGAAAUCUCUGAGCUUAACUCAGAACGGCCAAGUGAUACUGCAGUGCUAGAGUGUGGAAGGGGCAAUCGGAAUUCUUGGUGUAGCGGUGAAAUGCGUAGAUAUCAAGAGGAACACCUGAGGUGAAGACGGGUUGCUGGGCCAACACUGACGCUGAGGCGCGAAAGCGUGGGGAGCAAACAGG
rnacentral:rRNA from 1 species